AUUGAACGCUGGCGGCAGGCCUAACACAUGCAAGUCGAGCGGAUGAAGGGAGCUUGCUCCUGGAUUCAGCGGCGGACGGGUGAGUAAUGCCUAGGAAUCUGCCUGGUAGUGGGGGAUAACGUCCGGAAACGGGCGCUAAUACCGCAUACGUCCUGAGGGAGAAAGUGGGGGAUCUUCGGACCUCACGCUAUCAGAUGAGCCUAGGUCGGAUUAGCUAGUUGGUGGGGUAAAGGCCUACCAAGGCGACGAUCCGUAACUGGUCUGAGAGGAUGAUCAGUCACACUGGAACUGAGACACGGUCCAGACCCCUACGGGAGGCAGCAGUGGGGAAUAUUGGACAAUGGGCGAAAGCCUGAUCCAGCCAUGCCGCGUGUGUGAAGAAGGUCUUCGGAUUGUAAAGCACUUUAAGUUGGGAGGAAGGGCAGUAAGCUAAUACCUUGCUGUUUUGACGUUACCAACAGAAUAAGCACCGGCUAACUUCGUG
rnacentral:rRNA from 1 species